GACGAACGCUGGCGGCGUGCUUAACACAUGCAAGUCGAACGAUGAAGCCGGAGCUUGCUCUGGUGAAUUAGUGGCGAACGGGUGAGUAACACGUGAGUAACCUGCCCUUGACUCUGGGAUAACUGCUAGAAAUGGUAGCUAAUACCGGAUACGACCCUCGGAGGCAUCUCCAGGGGGUGGAAAGAAUUUCGGUCAAGGAUGGACUCGCGGCCUAUCAGCUAGUUGGUGAGGUAAUGGCUCACCAAGGCGACGACGGGUAGCCGGCCUGAGAGGGGGACCGGCCAAACUGGGACUGAGACACUGCCCAGACUCCUACGGGAGGCAGCAGUGGGGAAUAUUGCACAAUGGGCGCAAGCCUGAUGCAGCAACGCCGCGUGAGGGAUGACGGCCUUCGGGUUGUAAACCUCUUUUAGUAGGGAAGAAGCGAAAGUGACGGUACCUGCAGAAAAAGCACCGGCUAACUACGUGCCAGCAGCCGCCGUAA
rnacentral:rRNA from 1 species